AAUUUUAACAAAAAAGGGAGUAUGCGUCAAAGUUGUUGUGACGACACUGUUUUCUCAUGGGGUAAAGAAAUGUUGGCACUUGUCCCACCGUUGAAUUUGUGUUGGCAGCUUCAGAGAAGCCAAAGGCCUGACACCAAGCUUGCACUUGGUGUCAUAUUCCCUUUCCCGUCCUAGAGAGAGAGAAAAAAGAGAGAGAGAGAGAGAGUAGAGGAGAAGAUUGGCAGGGAAAAUAUGGGUUACCAGAACUGCAGAUUUCUUCAUCCUUUUCAGACUAUGCAGAUAAGUAAGUCUAAUUGUUUGGUACAUAUUCCUCUUUAAUUACUGCUAAUUAUGCAUCUGUUCUGUAUGAAAAUGGCAGCUUACUGGUUUUACUUCUGUCUAAAUUACUUUAUUUUUUGAUUUUUUGUGCUCUUGAUGAUAACAUUUUAAUUAAGAUUUUUUUUUCGCAUGACUAGAUAAUAAUCUGGGUUAUGUUCAAUCUGCAAAACUGAAGAACUAUUUAAGUCAGCUAUGGGAACCCCAAUUUGAGAAAAAAGCUGGAUUAGCCAAACUCCCAGAAAUUUAAGAAAACAUAUAGAAAUGAAAAGAGAAAAGGGAAAUGCUCAUUUUUUCUAAGUGACAUUGUAUUAUACUUAUUUCAAGUCUCAAUUAAACUUAAUCCCAGUACUUUGGGGAGAAUGUAGUAUUGAAAAUGGAAGAUCAAGUUUAAAGUCUUCAAUUAGAUUAUUUGGACUCUUGUGAGAUACUCUCAACACGGAAAAGAGUCAUUAAAGUGAACAUGAUGUAUAUGUCAGAAGUGGGUUGUGCUUGUGCCUAGAAAGAUGUGUUAACUGGGAUAAUUAUUGUUGUGAUUUUUCCUAAUUUAGGACCAUAUGGUAGUCUGAAAGCUGAAGUGUCUUAUCUGUGCUUUCAGUUUGAAGUUUAUAUGCGUUCUGGGUAUUUUUUUUGUCUAUGUGGCUUUAAUGCAUUAGUUUGUUUGAUGACUCUUAUAUAUGUGAAAUAUGGCCUACUCCAAACCGAAAUUUUAAUAUGUUUUCCAGUACCGAAUUCGUUUUUCCUCUUAAAUAUGGGUUUUUGAACACAUUUUGAUUGUUGCAUGUUACAAAGAGUUUCUUUCAAUCAAAACAUCUGCACAGGUAUCUUCUUAGUUUGAUUGAGUGAUCUAAGUCAAUAGUUUCACACAACACCUCGCUAUUUCUGUAGCAACUAUAAAUUUGGAAACAUGAUUCACAAUCAGUAUAUGUUACCUACAAAUUCCAUAAAAGAAUUACCAAGAAAUAAACUAAAGACGCAAUAAAAACCAGUUGGUAUUCCCUAGCUUGCUUAGUACAACAUUCUAAAAUUUUCAUCCUUUCUGGACUACUUAAAAAACUCACAUUAAUUUUUACUUUUAUGACUUCAGAUAGAGACGCUGUUGGGAAUUCCCUUGCCAGUAAGUCCACUGUUUCUAGUGUAAUCUGAGGUGUUAGGGUAAAGCAACAUGUAAGGCACCUUGACAGGCCCCAGUCUGUUCUUCCAUCUCUCAUCAUUGUUCCUAUUCAAUAUCCUGUUUUCUAUCUCCACCAGCUUUGUCCCGAAUCUCUCAAAUGCCUCUAGUGCUCGAUGAUCUGAAGUCCACUCGGGAGUGUCUCUUUGCCCAAGAUAAACCUCAUC
rnacentral:lncRNA from 1 species